GAUGAAGAACGUAGCGAAAUGCGAUAAGUAAUGUGAAUUGCAGAAUUCAGUGAAUCAUCGAAUCUUUGAACGCAUCUUGCGCUCCUUGGUAUUCUGAGGAGCAUGCCUGUUUGAGUGUCAUUAAAUUCUCAACUACACUGACUUUGAAUUGGUGUGGCUUGGAUUUGGGGGGAAAAUUGUUGUGGGCUUUUUGUAUAGUCUGCUCCCCUGAAAUUGAUUAGCGGUACCUUUGUGGAACUGUCUACAGGUGUGAUAAUUAUCUACAUCUUAGACAUCUGCUGGAAUGCUGCUUUCUAAACCUUACUUGUAUUGACAAUCCUGACCUCAAAUCAGGUAGGACUACCCGCUGAACUUAAGCAUAUCAAUAAGCGGAGGA
rnacentral:misc_RNA from 1 species